GAUGAACGCUGGCGGCGUGCCUAAUACAUGCAAGUCGAGCGAACAGACGAGGAGCUUGCUCCUCUGACGUUAGCGGCGGACGGGUGAGUAACACGUGGAUAACCUACCUAUAAGACUGGGAUAGCUUCGGGAAACCGGAGCUAAUACCGGAUAAUAUAUUGAACCGCAUGGUUCAAUAGUGAAAGACGGUUUUGCUGUCACUUAUAGAUGGAUCCGCGCCGCAUUAGCUAGUUGGUAAGGUAACGGCUUACCAAGGCAACGAUGCGUAGCCGACCUGAGAGGGUGAUCGGCCACACUGGAACUGAGACACGGUCCAGACUCCUACGGGAGGCAGCAGUAGGGAAUCUUCCGCAAUGGGCGAAAGCCUGACGGAGCAACGCCGCGUGAGUGAUGAAGGUCUUCGGAUCGUAAAACUCUGUUAUUAGGGAAGAACAAAUGUGUAAGUAACUAUGCACGUCUUGACGGUACCUAAUCAGGAAGCCACGGCUAACUACGUG
rnacentral:rRNA from 1 species